CUGGUCCAUAGUAAGAACUCAACAAAUGGUAGCUAUUACUAGUUAGUUGGAAAUAGAGUAUUCUCCCACCAAUUUCCAUUUUAUGGUCACUUUUAAUUUACCGAGACACACACAAAAGACAAAAGAGGGGAAGGCCAUGUGACAAUAGAGACAGAAAUUGGGGUUAUGUGACCACAAGCCAAGAAAGGCCUGGAGGCAUCAAAAGUUGGAAGUGUCCAGGAAGGAUUCGUAGACCCUUUGGAGGAAGUGUGACCCUGCCGCCUCCUUGAUUUCAGACUUUUAAAUUCCAGAACUGAGAAAGAAUUUUUUUUGUUGUUUUAAGACACUGAG
rnacentral:lncRNA from 1 species